UGAGGGAUCGUCCAAUGGUAGGAUACCUGACUCUGAAUCAGAUGAUCGGGGUUCGAAUCCCUGUCCCUCAGCCA
rnacentral:tRNA from 1 species